CCUACGGGAGGCAGCAGUAGGGAAUGUUCGUCAAUGGGCGCAAGCCUGAACGAGCAAUGCCGCGUGAAUGAGGAAGGUCUUCGGAUCGUAAAGUUCUGUUGAAGGGGAAAAAGAGCGGAGAGAGGAAAUGCUGUCGGAUUGAGAUUACCCGUCGAGGAAGUCACGGCUAACUACGUGCCAGCAGCCGAGGUAAGACGUAGGUGGCGAGCGUUAGCCGGAAUGAUUGGGCGUAAGGGGUGCGUAGGCGGCCUGCUACGUCUGGCGUGAAAGGUACCGGCUCACCCGGUACAGGCUCUGGAAACUGGCGGGCUAGCGCGCAGUAGAGUGCGGUGGAACUCCAUGUGUAGCGGUCAACUGCGUAGAUAUUUGGAAGAACACCAGUGGCGAAGGCGGCCGCCUGGCCUGUUACUGACGCUGAGGCACGACAGCGUGGGGAGCAAAUAGGAUUAGAUACCCCAGUAGUC
rnacentral:rRNA from 1 species